GAGUUUGAUCAUGGCUCAGGACGAACGCUGGCGGCGUGCCUAACACAUGCAAGUCGAGGGAGAAGCCCUUCGGGGCGGAAACCGGCGCACGGGUGCGUAACGCGUAUGCAACCUACCUUUCACAGGGGGAUAGCCCGAAGAAAUUUGGAUUAAUACCCCAUAAUAUUAUUGGAUGGCAUCAUUUGAUAAUUAAAAUUACGAUGGUGAAAGAUGGGCAUGCGUCCUAUUAGCUAGUUGGUGAGGUAACGGCUCACCAAGGCGACGAUGGGUAGGGGAACUGAGAGGUUGAACCCCCACACUGGUACUGAGACACGGACCAGACUCCUACGGGAGGCAGCAGUGAGGAAUAUUGGUCAAUGGGCGAGAGCCUGAACCAGCCAAGUCGCGUGAAGGAUGACUGUCUUAUGGAUUGUAAACUUCUUUUAUACGGGAAUAACAAGAGCCACGUGUGGCUCCCUGCAUGUACCGUAUGAAUAAGCAUCGGCUAACUCCGUGCCAGCAGCCGCGGUAAUACGGAGGAUGCGAGCGUUAUCCGGAUUUAUUGGGUUUAAAGGGUGCGUAGGCGGCCUGUUAAGUCAGCGGUGAAAUCUAGGAGCUUAACUCCUAAAUUGCCAUUGAUACUGGCGGGCUUGAGUGUAGAUGAGGUAGGCGGAAUGCGUGGUGUAGCGGUGGAAUGCAUAGAUAUCACGCAGAACUCCGAUUGCGAAGGCAGCUUACUAAGGUACAACUGACGCUGAAGCACGAAAGCGUGGGUAUCAAACAGGAUUAGAUACCCUGGUAGUCCACGCAGUAAACGAUGAUAACUGGGCGUAUGCGAUAUACAGUAUGCUCCUAAGCGAAAGCGUUAAGUUAUCCACCUGGGGAGUACGCCGGCAACGGUGAAACUCAGAGGAAUUGACGGGGGCCCGCACAAGCGGAGGAACAUGUGGUUUAAUUCGAUGAUACGCGAGGAACCUUACCCGGGAUUGAAAUGUAGAUGACCGCUCCUGAAAGGGAGUUUUCCUUCGGGACAUCUAUGUAGGUGCUGCAUGGUUGUCGUCAGCUCGUGCCGUGAGGUGUCGGCUUAAGUGCCAUAACGAGCGCAACCCCUGUCUACGGUUGCCAUCAGGUAAUGCUGGGAACUCCGUAGAGACUGCCGUCGUAAGGCGUGAGGAAGGUGGGGAUGACGUCAAAUCAGCACGGCCCUUACAUCCGGGGCGACACACGUGUUACAAAUGGUAAGGACAAAAGGGCAGCUACCUGGCGACAGGAUGCGAAAUCUCUAAACCUUAUCACAGUUCGGUAUCGGAGUUCUGCAAACUCGACUCCGUGAAAGCUGGAUUCGCUAGUAAUCGCGCCUCAGCCAUGGCGCGGUGAGUCGUUCCCGGGCCCUUCCCGCCCCCCCC
rnacentral:rRNA from 1 species